GUUUGUAGAUCUUCUGCAAGGAGAACGGCAUUGUUAACUACCUACAGGAAGUGUCUCAGAUUAACAGACGUGUGUAGGAUUUCAGUCCCAUUUGAAUACACCCGAUGGAUGUACGACCUUGAGAAAUUUACUUAACACUUCCAGGUCAGCCCGGCGUGGUGGCUUAUGCCUGUAUUUCCAGCACUUGGGGAGGCCAAGCCGGGUGGAUCACGAGGUCAGGAGUCCGAGACCAGCCUGGCCAACAUGGUGAAAACCUGUCUCUACUAAAGAUACAAAAAUUAUCUGGGUGUGGUGGUGGGCGCCUGCAAUUCCAGCUACUCGGGAGGCUGAGGCAGGAGAAUCAUUUGAACCUGGGAGGCAGAGGUUGCAGUGAGCCAAGAUCACACCAUUGCACUCCAGCGGGGGCAACAGGGCUAGACUGCCUCUCAAAACAAACAAACAAACAAACAAACAAACAAAAACAUUUCGGGGUCAAAUGUUUGUCACCUAAAAACAAAGCCAUUGAGCAUAAGAAGAACAUAAUGGACUUUGGGGACUCAGGAGGAAAGUGUGGGAAGGGGAUGAGGGAUAAAAGACGACAAAUAUGGUGCUGUGUAUACUGCUCUGGUGAUGGGUGCACCAAAAUCUCACAAAUCACCACAAAAGAACUUACUCAUGUAACCAAAUACCACCUGUUUCCCAAUAACCUAUGGAAAUAAAAAAAAUUUUAAAAAAACCAAAGCCAUUGAGUAAGAUAUUUGCUUUCAUUUACAUCUAAUAUUCAGAGUAAAAGAGUCUAUAAACCGAAUACUACCUAACACUGCAGAAUUAAACUAUGUUCACGUAACUAAUCUUCAACAUUCCCUAAUCCUCCAUCCUACAAACAACACUCCUGUCCAUGUAGCUUAACAAUAUUGGCUGAAUUAAUUAUCAGAAGAUAGUAUAGUAUGCAAUAAAAACAAUGCUCAUGAUUCUUCAGGCUUUCUGCAUCCACAGCCUUUAAAAUUUGGCUCUGUUUCUCUAAUUCUUGAAUCUGGACAACUAGAGUUGUCACCUGUUUUGACCAAUAGGUUGCCGUAGAAUUGACAUGCUGUGACUUCCAUAACCCACUCACCAAAAGAUGUUGUGUGUUUCCACUCUCUCUCCUGGAAACCAGACAAGUGCCAGGAUAAUCAGAUAAGUCUGGUGGACUGGAGAAGAAGAGACCACAUAUAACAGAACUGAACCAUUCCAGCUGAAGGCAUCUUAGAUAAACUAGCCCUCAGGCAAUCUAGCAGUUGACCACAAUUGCAUGAGCGAACUCAGAGGAGAUCAGAAGAGCUUCUCAACAGAGCCCAGAGUAAAUCAUUGACUCAGAGAAUUGUGAGAUAACUUAAAGAUGCUGCUUAAUGCCCCGAAGUUGGAGUGUUUUGUUACACACCAAAAGUCAACUGAUACAUGGAGCUGUCUACUUGACUUUUUUAAAAUGAAAAUCUUCACACAUUUCAAGACUCCUAUCUGAUUCAGUUUUUUCAAUAAUGUCUGCUCUAGUAAUUUCAAUCUACAUUGAACAUAUUCAUUUAUUUAUUGGACAAACAUUUUGUAACUGUUCAUUAGGUUUUCUUUUUUACUUGCACUAUACUUUUGUCCUUUAUCACAUUAAAUACUGCCUACAUUAGAUUAUCUGUUAGCAUCUUACCAUAUAUUAGGCCAUUUUCUGUCUCAUAGCAAGUAGAAGGCUAAAAUCCACAUUUCCUAGACUUCUUUAUCAUCCC
rnacentral:lncRNA from 1 species